GACGAACGCUGGCGGCGUGCUUAACACAUGCAAGUCGAACGGUAAGGCCCCAGCUUGCUGGGGUACACGAGUGGCGAACGGGUGAGUAACACGUGGGUGACCUGCCCCGCACUUCGGGAUAAGCCUGGGAAACUGGGUCUAAUACCGGAUAGGACCGCACCGUGAGGGUGUGGUGGAAAGUUUUUCGGUGUGGGAUGGGCCCGCGGCCUAUCAGCUUGUUGGUGGGGUAAUGGCCUACCAAGGCGGCGACGGGUAGCCGGCCUGAGAGGGUGGACGGCCACAUUGGGACUGAGACACGGCCCAGACUCCUACGGGAGGCAGCAGUGGGGAAUAUUGCACAAUGGGCGGAAGCCUGAUGCAGCGACGCCGCGUGGGGGAUGACGGCUUUCGGGUUGUAAACUCCUUUCACCAUCGACGAAGGUUUUCUGACGGUAGAUGGAGAAGAAGCACCGGCUAACUACGUG
rnacentral:rRNA from 1 species